UGAAAAUACCCUACAGAACUGGGGGUGCCGAUUGGCCAUGGAUAAUAAAAGUACGACGACAAGCAGUUAGCAUAAUGUAUAGUUCUACAGUGGAAAACGACAAUGUGGCUAACAAAGAGGAAGUGGAAAUUAUGACAGAAAAUCGACGUUAUGGAAAUAAUGACAGGGGAUUGCGGCCCUAAAAAAGAAGAUAAUUUAUUUGGUGUUAUGAUCGGUUCAAUAACUGAGGACCAGUCGAGAAAGGCCAAAAAAACGAUAUUUUAAAAACUCAAGUUGCCUUAAUGUUAUAAAGUAU